GCAGCUCAUUGGUAGAGCAUCUACUUUGCAUUCAGAAGGUUUCAGGUUCAAACCCUGGCAUCUCCA